UACGUAGGUCCCGAGCGUUGUCCGGAUUUAUUGGGCGUAAAGCGAGCGCAGGUGGUUUAUUAAGUCUGGUGUAAAAGGCAGUGGCUCAACCAUUGUAUGCAUUGGAAACUGGUAGACUUGAGUGCAGGAGAGGAGAGUGGAAUUCCAUGUGUAGCGGUGAAAUGCGUAGAUAUAUGGAGGGACACCGGUGGCGAAAGCGGCUCUCUGGCCUGUAACUGACACUGAGGCUUGAAAGCGUGGGGAGCAAACAGG
rnacentral:rRNA from 1 species